CAGCCGCCACGGUAAUACGAAGGGGGCUAGCGUUGCUCGGAAUCACUGGGCGUAAAGGGUGCGUAGGCGGGUCUUUAAGUCAGGGGUGAAAUCCCGGAGCUCAACUCCAGAACUGCCUUUGAUACUGAAGAUCUUGAGUUCGGGAGAGGUGAGUGGAACUGCGAGUGUAGAGGUGAAAUUCGUAGAUAUUCGCAAGAACACCAGUGGCGAAGGCGGCUCACUGGCCCGAUACUGACGCUGAGGCAUGAAAGCGUGGGGAGCAAACAGGAUUAGAUACCCGCGUAGUCCCUGUCUCUUAUAC
rnacentral:rRNA from 1 species